AAUUUUUUUUACAGGGAUGUGUUGUCUGACCUUUCUGCCUUGUUCAUUGACGUACAGGACUUGUAUAAAUUGCAACAGUUUGGCAUCAUCCUUUGAGAUGUUGAAAGAUAUUACUUGGGUGCCAUCACAGGAGUGUUCUCUAUGUGGGGGAAAGCUGAUUUAAUGAGAAGAGGAGCGUAGUGUUGAAUCAAAAGAGAAACUCGGAUGAGUUUGGAAAAGAAACAGAUGCAGGUUCACAAUCAGCUAAAAAAAAAAAAAAGAGCCAAAAUGGGGUCUGUUUAUAGUUGAAGUAUCAGUCUAUAAAAGUGUUUACAAGUCAUUAAGGUUCAUUUUUAAUGCUAGCAGCAAUGAAAGGUGUACUUUCUGAUUGAAACUUACUGAAGUUUCCUCAAGCAAACCAAAAGAUAUGUACUAAUCUUGAUUAUAUUCACUAGAUGUGAAUGUAGCAUUUUAAAUUACAAUACAUACUGGAGAUAGUAAGGCUUAACUGUAUAA